rnacentral:lncRNA from 1 species
AUGUGUAUGGGAAUGGAUCAUAACAUGUUGAGAGUUCGUCUUUAUGAAGCAUGAUUUGAUGAAGAAUCGAUUAAACGAAGGGGUAAUGGUUCAUUAAUCGCUCAUAUUGCUAAACUUGAAGCUCAGGUGGAGAUGGUCAAAUGAAUGAUUUAGUUUGCUGCUAUUAUCAUUGGAACCGCGAUUGGUUUAAACGUGGUAAGUGGAGUUAGUUGAGCCAGUCCUCAGAGUGUUGUCAUAACCGAAAGGUAACCUCAAACAAAUUACUUCUUUGGUUGUGAAGAUCGUGUGAUUUUGGAAUAAGAAGUCUGGGCUGAGAUUCGUUUCGUUUGAGUAUCUCGACUGCGGCUUCUUCUGAGCUGAUGUGGGUGGGGCAAGGUUCCGUGGCUUGGUUGUAACUCCGUCAUUCCACCGCGUCAAGAGGUAGUCGUUUUUACGCGGUCACGGAUUUGCAAAUGAGUGGGAUUUGCCAUCUCCGGCGUUAGUUGCAGAUCCGCUACACACGUACAUACACCGCGUUUCUCCCUGUUAUUUUGAUCUUAAUCGCCACCUCCCUGUUAUUUUGCUCUUAAUCGCAAAGGUAGCUCUAAUCGAUGAGCAGCAGGCCAAAAUAAUCUUUGCAACUCUCCUUUUCCUCAUCAGAUUUAGCAUAUUAUAGAUUUGCUUAUGUUCUAUCAAUAGUUAGGCUAAAAAAUGAGAGUGGCUAACCACAACAUAAAUUUUUAAAAAAUAAUCCGUUAUUGUCUAUACGUGUU